UCGUAACAGAGAGAGACGAAACAGUGAUGUGGAGUAAAACUUAUAAAAGCGACCUCAGUUCGGAUUGAAGGCUGAAAUUCGCCUUCAUGAAGUCGGAAUUGCUAGUAAUGGCAGGUCAGCAUACUGCCGUGAAUACGUUCCCGGGCCUUGUACACACCGCCCGUCACACCAUGGGAGUCGGUAACACCCGAAGCCUGUAGUCUAACCGCAAGGGGGACGCAGUCGAAGGUGGGAUUGAUGACUGGGGUGAAGUCGUAACAAGGUAAC
rnacentral:rRNA from 1 species